CAGGUUUUGUCGGGACUCCUGAUGACGUUUUGAGACAUCUCCUACAACUACAGCACCAGAAUUGUGCUGCUGAAGCAAGUCUGUUUUUUUGAAUUUUUUGUUUUGUCAAGACUCCUGAUGACGUUUUAAGACAUAUUCUACAACUACAGCACCAGAAUUGUGCUGCUAAAGCAAGUUUUGUCGGGACUCCUGAUGACGUUUUGAGACAUCUUUUACAACUACAACACCAGAUUUGUGCUGCUGAAGCAAAUCCGUUUAUUUUUAAAAUUUUUU